GUUUCUGUAGUUGAAUGACAACGGUGGUUUUUCAAGUCACUGGUCUUGGUUAAAACCCUGGCAGAAAUU
rnacentral:tRNA from 1 species